UGCGGGUUCGUCUAAUGGUAGGACACUUCCCUUUGAAGGAAGUUAUUGGGGUUCGAGUCCCUGACCCGCAGCCA
rnacentral:tRNA from 1 species